AACGAACGCUGGCGGCAUGCCUAACACAUGCAAGUCGAACGAGACCUUCGGGUCUAGUGGCGCACGGGUGCGUAACGCGUGGGAACCUGCCCUUAGGUUCGGAAUAACUCUCCGAAAGGGGUGCUAAUACCGGAUAAUGUCUUCGGACCAAAGAUUUAUCGCCUUUGGAUGGGCCCGCGUUGGAUUAGCUAGUUGGUAGGGUAAAAGCCUACCAAGGCGACGAUCCAUAGCUGGUCUGAGAGGAUGGUCAGCCACACUGAGACUGAGACACGGCCCAGACUCCUACGAGAGGCAGCAGUGGGGAAUAUUGGACAAUGGGCGAAAGCCUGAUCCAGCAAUGCCGCGUGAGUGAUGAAGGCCUUAGGGUUGUAAAGCUCUUUUACCCGGGAUGAUAAUGACAGUACCGGGAGAAUAAGCUCCGGCUAACUCCGUG
rnacentral:rRNA from 1 species